rnacentral:rRNA from 1 species
UAUUAAAGGCAACGCCUGCCCAGUGAAUAAUUAAACGGCCGCGGUACCCUAACCGUGCAAAGGUAGCGUAAUCAUUUGUCUAUUAAUUGUAGACCCGUAUGAAAGGCAUAAUGAGGGUCUAACUGUCUCUUUUAGUAAAUCAAUUAAACUGAUCUCCUAGUCCAAAAGCUAGGAUGUUAACAUAAGACCAGAAGACCCUGUGAAGCUUUAACUAGACUAUUAAAUCUCAUAUUAGCUCCUUUCGGUUGGGGCGACCUUGGAAAAAAAAAGAACUUCCAAAACAAUAUACAUACAUAUAAUCACCUAGGCUGACAAGCCUAUCAAUUGACCCAGCAUAGCUGAUAAUUGAAACAAGUUACUCCAGGGAUAACAGCGCUAUCUUCUUCAAGAGCCCAUAUCAAAAAGAAGGUUUACGACCUCGAUGUUGGAUCAGGACAUCCUAAUGGUGCAGCCGCUAUUAASGGUUCGUUUGUUCAACGAUUAACA